rnacentral:rRNA from 1 species
UACGAAGGGGGCUAGCGUUGUUCGGAAUUACUGGGCGUAAAGCGCAUGCAGGCGGAUUGUUAAGUCGGGGGUGAAAUCCCGAGGCUCAACCUCGGAACUGCCUUCGAUACUGGCAAUCUUGAGUCCGGGAGAGGUGAGUGGAACUGCGAGUGUAGAGGUGAAAUUCGUAGAUAUUCGCAAGAACACCAGUGGCGAAGGCGGCUCACUGGCCCGGUACUGACGCUGAGGUGCGAAAGCGUGGGGAGCAAACAGG